rnacentral:lncRNA from 1 species
UGAGGGGGACAUGCGGGACACGUGGCACGCACCAGUUGGCCCAGGAACACCCGCCGCCAUAACUGCGCUAGGAUCCGUCGGCUAUUUAAACCCCCUAAUCUCCCUUCGUGGCUUCAUCCUGUCGAUAGGACGGUACCUUUCUUUCGCCCGAGAGCCUAGCUACUCAGCUACUUCCCUCGCACCAGUCCUUGCCUUCUUCAGCCCCCCAAUUCUUCUCUGAGGGUUCCCACACCAUGUCCUCUACUCUGGAGGCCAUUCUUGAAGGGAUGUCUAGGGCUUGGAGGAAGGCGAGGAGGAGAACGGCGGCCGGUGAGGAUCUCCAUCGUUUUAAAGGGGGCUCAAGGAAGAAUUCCUUCAACAACAGGGGUUUAAUAACGGGGGCCACCGGUAAAGUUAUUCUGCCCGAGAAUUUCGGAGUAGCAAGGCGGAGUGAUACCGGUCAAGAGGGCAGAGCUGUCGUCACAAGCUGUGGCGGGAUCCUUGAUGCCGUCGGGGCCGAGGGACCAGAAGCGGUCGGCGUCGACGGUGGGGCAGCAAAAUCUGUUGCG